AUACGGCGGAUGCGAGCGUUAUCCGGAUUUAUUGGGUUUAAAGGGUGCGUAGGCUGUGCGUUCAGUCAGGGGUGAAAUGCCGUCGCUCAACGACGGAGCUGCCCUUGAUACUGGCGUGCUGGAGUACGGAUGCCGUUGGAGGAAUGAGUGGUGUAGCGGUGAAAUGCUUAGAUAUCACUCAGAACACCGAUUGCGAAGGCAUCUGACGAAUCCGUCACUGACGCUGAGGCACGAAAGCGUGGGGAUAGAACAGGAUUAGAUACCCUGGUAUUCCACGCCGUAAACGAUGAUGACUAACCGUCGGCGAUAGACAGCCGGUGGCCAAGCGAAAGCGAUAAGUCAUCCACCUGGGGAGUACGUCGGCAACGAUGAAACUCAAAUGAAUUGACGGGG
rnacentral:rRNA from 1 species